UACGGGGGGUGCGAGCGUUGUUCGGAAUUACUGGGCGUAAAGGGCGCGUAGGCGGCCUGCUAAGUCGAACGUGAAAUCCCUGGGCUCAACCCAGGAACUGCGUCCGAUACUGGUUGGCUUGAAUCCGGGAGAGGGAUGCGGAAUUCCAGGUGUAGCGGUGAAAUGCGUAGAUAUCUGGAGGAACACCGGUGGCGAAGGCGGCAUCCUGGACCGGCAUUGACGCUGAGGCGCGAAAGCCAGGGGAGCAAACGGG
rnacentral:rRNA from 1 species